GGUUAAGACACCGCCCUUUCACGGCGGUAACACGGGUUCGAAUCCCGUACGGGUCA
rnacentral:tRNA from 1 species